rnacentral:rRNA from 1 species
UCGAAACAAAGUAGAGGUACCUGAAAGUGUUUCUAAG